rnacentral:rRNA from 1 species
UACGAAGGGGGCUAGCGUUGUCCGGAAUUAUUGGGCGUAAAGAGCUCGUAGGCGGUUUGUCGCGUCUGCUGUGAAAGUUCGGGGCUCAACCCCGGAACUGCAGUGGGUACGGGCAGACUAGAGUGCGGUAGAGGAGACUGGAAUUCCUGGUGUAGCGGUGGAAUGCGCAGAUAUCAGGAGGAACACCAGUGGCGAAGGCGGGUCUCUGGGCCGCAACUGACGCUGAGGAGCGAAAGCGUGGGGAGCGAACAGG